GAUGAACGCUAGCGGCAGGCCUAAUACAUGCAAGUCGAGGGGUAACAUAAGAGCUUGCUCUUGAUGACGACCGGCGGACGGGUGCGUAACGCGUAUACAACUUACCUUAGACUGGGGGAUAGCCCGUGGAAACAUGGAUUAAUACCCCAUAACAUGCGAGGAAUCAUUUUCUUGCUUUGAAAGAUUUAUCGGUUUGAGAUGGGUAUGCGUAUGAUUAGUUAGUUGGUGAGGUAACGGCUCACCAAGACGAUGAUCAUUAGGGGGUCUGAGAGGAUGAUCCCCCACACUGGCACUGAGAUACGGGCCAGACUCCUACGGGAGGCAGCAGUAGGGAAUAUUGGUCAAUGGGGGCAACCCUGAACCAGCCAUGCCGCGUGCAGGAAGACGGCCUUCUGGGUUGUAAACUGCUUUUGACAGGGAAGAAAGUGAACCAUGCGUGGUUUUUUGACGGUACCUGUAGAAUAAGCACCGGCUAACUCCG
rnacentral:rRNA from 1 species